CGGCCCGCCGGGCGCGGGGGGCGGGGCUCGGGAGACAGCAGUGCGUUGGGAACGGCCUGGGUGAGAAAAGUGCUUCCCAAACUCUUUGGGCCAAAUGCUUCAGGUAACGCGCAGAUCUACUAAUGGGUUUCCACCCAUCUGCAAUAAAAAUGUAAUCGCGUAGCUCCUUGCCAAGCUUCCAGUGGAGACCGAAGCGUACAGCUUAAAAAGAAAGUAGUAAGCUACCUGGACACCUAGAUGAAUUGGGCACAGCUGCUCUUCAUGCUCACAUUGUCAAAGGUUUAGUUAAGAGCGGGCUGCUGCUGUAAGACCAGAGACAGCAAGUGCUCUUCCAGUAUGUGCAUUUGGUCAUUAAUUGAACACACAGUUCUGCAGACACUUAUAAGAUUCCCCACUGAUUUUUUUGUGCUAAGGCAAAUAUGGGCAGGGAGGAAUUAAUUCAAAGGAAAGCAACAAAAAUAUUUGGAGGAUUUCCUGAGACUGACGUGAAGAGAAACUACAAGUGCCUGGGACAUUCCUAGCAUAAUUAAGAGACAAUAUAGGGUGUUUUCUAGUGUAUAUGACAGCAAGUAAAUAAUAGAAGUAGGUUUAUUGAGAUGAUCUGCAAAGACUGGUGCAAUUAUUUCCCAUUAUUUGUUAACCCACUUCCUUUCACCUUAUCCAUUGAGACAGAACCAUCGUUCCUCAUGCAUGUUAUCAGCUAUAGCACUCUUCAGGUGCAAAAUGCUUGAUGAACAUUCACCUUCAGAAGCCAAGAGCUUACCUACCAGAGAGGUAUCCUCUGCUGGAUCCAGCACACUGCAUGUUAUUUGCACUGUAGUAAACCUAAAUCAUAGUGUUACAAAAACCACACACCAGAUUUAGUGCUUAAUUCUGAUGACACCUGCCAAAUUGCAGUCCAGGUGUUGAUACUACAGGGAGUGGGAGCAGACUUGGGUCUUCUGUUUGUGUUCCUGAUCUUCAAGUAUGAGCCUUGGUAACCUUGUGCUCGCAAAUAGAAACCAGCGGCAACAUCAUAUGGCUGCUCCAUCGUAUCCCAGGUGCCUGUGCCAAGCCCGCAUGGGAGACCAUGGGAGCAGAGGAACAGGCUGCUCAGGCGAGUCUGUGCUCUCACAUCUCACUGCUUUUGAGAACGGACAUGUAAAAUUGCUGCCUGCAUUUAAGCAAAGGUCAGAGCGCUUGGGCUGACCACAAGCUGGCUGGGCACAAAGCAAGAUCUGCAGUGCUGGGCCAUCCCUGGCUGACCGGUAACACCUGCACGUGCCAUCCC